UACGUAGGGGGCGAGCGUUGUCCGGAUUUAUUGGGCGUAAAGAGCGUGUAGGCGGUUCGGUAAGUCUGUCGUGAAAUCCUGAGGCUCAACCUCGGGCGUGCGAUGGAUACUGCCGGGCUAGAGGGUGGUAGAGGCGAGUGGAAUUCCCGGUGUAGUGGUGGAAUGCGUAGAGAUCCGGAGGAACACCAGCGGCGAAGGCGGCAUCCUGGACUGGUCCUGACACUCAGGAGCGAAAGCGUGGGGAGCGAGUC
rnacentral:rRNA from 1 species